rnacentral:rRNA from 1 species
UGAGUACAAGAUGCUACGGCAUUGAAGCAGUCUAUGUCAUACUUCCAAGAAAAGCUUGCAAUGUCAUAAACAGAUAAUGCCUGUACCAUAACCGACACAGGUGGGUAGGUAGAGUAUACUAAGGGGCGCGAGAUAACUCUCUCUAAGGAACUCGGCAAAAUGACUCCGUAACUCGGGAGAAGGAGUACCUUAUUUUAUAAGGUUGCAAUAACAAGGUCCAAGCAACUGUUUACCAAAAACACAGGUCUCCGCUAAGUCGUAAGACGAUGUAUGGGGGCUGACGCCUGCCCAGUGCCAGAAGGUUAAAGAAGUUGGUUAGCAUUAGCGAAGCUGAUAACUGAAGCCCUGGUGAACGGCGGCCGUAACAAUAACGGUCCUAAGGUAGCGAAAUUCCUUGUCGGGUAAGUUCCGACCCGCACGAAAGGCGUAAUGAUUUGGAUACUGUCUCGGAGAGGGGCUCGGUGAGAUAGACUUGUCUGUGAAGAUGCGGACUACCUGCACCUGGACAGAAAGACCCUAUGAAGCUUUACUGUAACUUGAGAUUGAAAAUUGGACUUUAUUUGCGCAGUAUAGGUGGGAGACCUCGAAAGUAUUCUUGCGGGAAUAUUGGAGUCAUCAGUGAGAUACCACUCUUAUAAUGUUAGAUUUCUAACUUUGUAUCAUUAUCUGGUCAAAGAACAGUUUCAGGCGGGCAGUUUGACUGGGGCGGUCGCCUCCCAAAUGGUAACGGAGGCGCACAAAGGUUUCCUCUGAACGUGUAGAAAUCGUAUCUAGAGUGUAAAGGCAUAAGGAAGCUUGACUGUGAGACCUACAAGUCGAGCAGGGACGAAAGUCGGUCUUAGUGAUCUGACGGUGCUGAGUGGAAAGGCCGUCACUCAACGGAUAAAAGUUACUCUAAGGAUAACAGGCUGAUCUCCCCCAAGAGUUCACAUCGACGGGGAGGUUUGGCACCUCGAUGUCGGCUCAUCGCAUCCUGGGGCGGUAGUACGUCCCAAGGGUUGGGCUGUUCGCCCACGAAAGCGGUACGCGAGCUGGGUUCAGAACGUCGUGAGACAGUUCGGUCCAUAUCCGGUGUAGGCGUUAGAAUAUUGAGAGGAGCCUUCUUUAGUACGAGAGGACCGAGAAGGACAUACCUCUGGUGUACCAGUUAUCGUGCCAACGGUAAACGCUGGGUAGCUAUGUAUGGAGAGGAUAACCGCUGAAAGCAUCUAAGUGGGAAGCCCACCUCAAGAUAAGUAUUCUC